rnacentral:rRNA from 1 species
GAUGAACGCUGGCGGCGUGCCUAAUACAUGCACGUCGAGCGAACGGACGAGAAGCUUGCUUCUCUGAUGUUAGCGGCGGACGGGUGAGUAACACGUGGAUAACCUACCUAUAAGACUGGGAUAACUUCGGGAAACCGUAGCUAAUACCGGAUAAUAUUUUGAACCGCAUGGUUCAAAAGUGAAAGACGGUCUUGCUGUCACUUAUAGAUGGAUCCGCGCUGCAUUAGCUAGUUGGUAAGGUAACGGCUUACCAAGGCAACGAUGCAUAGCCGACCUGAGAGGGUGAUCGGCCACACUGGAACUGAGACACGGUCCAGACUCCUACGGGAGGCAGCAGUAGGGAAUCUUCCGCAAUGGGCGAAAGCCUGACGGAGCAACGCCGCGUGAGUGAUGAAGGUCUUCGGAUCGUAAAACUCUGUUAUUAGGGAAGAACAUAUGUGUAAGUAACUGUGCACAUCUUGACGGUACCUAAUCAGAAAGCCACGGCUAACUACGUG